AAGUCGUAACAAGGUUUCCGUAGGUGAACCUGCGGAAGGAUCAUUACCUUUCAAUGCAGCAGAAUGGGGAUGGUUGAGUUUCUCGCCUCUCUGUUCUGCCUGUAUUCUACCCUUGUUUGUCAUAUACUAUUAUUUCCUCGGCAGGCUUGCUUGCCGAGUGAAACCAAUUAUAACCUAUUUAAUUUUCAAUCAGCGUCUGAACAAAACUAAUAAUUACAACUUUCAACAACGGAUCUCUUGGUUCUG
rnacentral:misc_RNA from 1 species